AAGCAUCUGGCCCUAAUCAGACUUCAAUUUUAGACAGAGUCCUACCUAAAGCUUCCUGUAAUUCAUUACAUCAGAAGACAAAGCACAGUACCGUGACUAUUGAAACAUGCUACAGAUAUAACAAAGAGCAUGAACAGCAAUGAAAGAUGAUCUUGACUAGCUGCCAAGCCCAUCCACUGUCAGGAACCUGAGCUAAAGAGCAUGGAAAUGGCUCUCUGGACAUCAUCACACAUCACUCAUAGGAACAAGAGAGGGAGAAGGAGAGAUCAUCUUUUGAAAGUGAAAGAAGAGCUAGGGGUUUCAAAGAGAAGUGGUCUGCAAUAGCCACUGAAAUGUCAAGCAAGCUGAAUUCUGACAGCAUGAAUUUAUAAUGGAUUAGGUCAUUACAGUUCUCUAUCUUCUCCCAUCAGUGUUAGGAGAAUUAAGUGGUACAGAAUUAAGAAUGUAGAAAUCAAAUAUUGGGCAGAGAUUUAAAGUCGAUCAUUUGCUUAUAGGUUUGGCAAAAAUCUAUCACUGGAUAAAACGGAAAACAAACAAAACCAAGAAUAAUUUUUAAGGGUCCCAACACACUAAAUCACAAAGACAUUCUAAAUAUGGAUGUGCUUCAUGUUUUGAAAUAGCUAAUUAAAAUAUUUCCAGAAAUGUGUACUAUAAAAUUGACCAGAUAUUUCUUAAGGCAUUCCUGGUGUCCCACAAUAAUAUCCUAACUUUCUGAAAUGCCUCACAGCUCACAUACACUGUCAUAUACAUUAUUUCAUUUGAUCUUCACCCACUCAGACUCUACUUAACUUGAGUCAAAAUAAAGAAUUUAGAAUAUCUGAGUUGCUUUCAAGCUUGUCUCUAUCAAUCAUGAGUUUUCUUUCACUCCACCAUUUAUAAUUAAAGCUUAGCAAAACUUAUGGUAAUGUUAUGAGAUAAAGGACAAGAUAAAGGACUAUUAGAUAAGGGACUAGAUCUGAUAGACAGAGUGCCUGAUGAACUAUGGA